UGAUGACAUCACAAAUGUGAGUCUAGCAGCAAUAUGGAAGAGCACACUGUCAUGGCUGUUAUUGCUUCCUGAUUUAAGUUGUAUUGAAGGCACAUUCGUUUUACGUCAUUCCACAAGCAACAGUAAAGGUUAAACAUUACUCCUUGAGUCUGUUGUCUUUUGGGAAACGUUAUCUGACUGCCGAGUCAAGCAAGGCGUUUGAUGCAGAGGGCAGAACAGAGAGUAUGCACAUCACGUUACCAUCAGACGACUCCAGUGCGAGAAGCUGCCAUUUUCUCAGUGUCUACAGAUGAAAACGAGUGAAAGUACGUUAGUAAGGUAAGGAAAGUAUGGUAAGUAAAGAUUAAAAAUGUAAAGUCAUCAUUCAUUGUGUGUGUCCGGAAGUAUUUUGAAAUUUCAUGGAAUUCCGAAAAAUGUCGGAAAAGAGCUUAUAUUGAAAAAUAAGCGGACCUGGAAAUAGUCUUAACGGCCUCUUCAACAUUAGUGAUUUUCUUAUGUCAUUUACAGAUAAUUUUAAGUGUUAAUAGAGGGUUAUUAACAAAUUUACAUGUUAAUUUAAUUUUCUUUUUCCACAAAUAAACUGAAAGUAGUUUCCUAAAGGAAAUGGUGUCAUUUACAGUUUUUCUCAACUCUAAACACAAAUCCGUAACUUCUCAAUUCAAAACUCAAUUCCCCCGAACUUACUAUAUUCAGGUCAAAAUGAAGCUCUCCACUCAAAACCACUCAAUCUUGCUGAAAAAAAACAAACUUUGCUCUCAGACAUGACACACAAACCCUCAAAAACACACACACUACAACACAUUUUUACACACUGAUGAGAUCAGUUCAAAACAAUACUACGAAAACUGGUAAUAAGUGUUGCUUGGAAAAAAAUCACAUGAUGAACACAACAAAUGUAUGCAUUUGCAAGUGUUUUAAUCCUUAAUUUAUUGUACUGUAGAGUACAGCACAAAACAGCAAACAACAACAAAAAUCAUUAUUCUGCCCCAGCAUCACAGACUAAACUGUUCCUGGACAGGCAGCGGAGGUAAAAUCCUCUUGCAUGCCUGAUCCAACCCUUGCACGCAUCAACUAAAAUAUAUGAGACUGCUUGUUUUCUGGCCCUCCCUAUUUCUCUUCCACGUUGUUGUUGUCGUCGUCUUCUUCUUCUCCUCCUCUUCCUCUUUCACCUCCUACUCUUUGUCUUCGAAAUUGCAUAUUACUGUAUGCGGGAUAUUGAUUGAAAAAGACCGGAUAGGAUUCACAGUUACACUUUUACUAGUGGUCUGACAAAAAAAAAAAAAAAACAGUCAUUGUGAAAUAGAAAAUAAAAAGGAAAUAUGGGCAAAGGCAGAAAUAUAAAUUAGAAAGUCCACUGUCAGAAUUUGUAACUCUUGUGUUGUCCUCUGUCUAUAUAUGCUUUCCAAUUGAAGGUUCAUGAGAUGUUGAGAUGUACCUUUGAGCUAUUUCAGAGAACGGCUUUAUCAUUGGUUGAUCUGUAGUCUCUACAUUAGUGAAAGUCAAUAUUCACUUGAACAAUUCAUGGCAAAUUUACAAAAAGUCUAAUAGAAAUGUGUAGAAUAUGCUUGACAGUUUAUGACAACUAGAUAAAAAAUUUAGCAUUUACUGCAAAAACAUAUACGAUGAGCUAAUGACUUGAUGUUUUGAGGGGUAAAACUAUAGCGACAUGACAAUAGGAACUGAUAAUGUAGGAAACAGCAGACAAAUCAGUUGCAUAAUCAGUUGCAUGAACGUACCAAAGCAAACGCAACUUGUUAAAAAACAAUUAGAAACAUUUUAUGAUGUGCAUAAGUGACUAGAUGAUGUGGAGGUUGAGCAAGUAGUUUUGAGAAUUUCAUUUCUGAUCUGAGAAAUGCGCCAAACUGUAAGCUGACUUUGGCCCUUUUAUCUCCAUCGAAGGUUCUGACUGGUGUGUGAUAAAUUUUGACUCCUAGUGUUUUUGCUUGGGUAAUUGUGUUCUAAUUGAGCUCAAACAUUGUAGACUUGAGUGAACAGUAUUGAAUGCUAGUGCUUUCUAAAUGAUCACAUGGUGUAAGCACUGAGAAAUGUAGGGAUUUGUGUGUAGAGUUAUGCAGUAACAGUUCACCGAAUCUGACUCAUGUGUUAAAGCAGGGGAAUAGUGUUUAUAGUUCAGGGAAAUGGGUGUGCUUUUUUAAAAAUGGCAUUAUGGUUUUGAAAUUUUAGUUCAAAAGACUGGUUAUAGUGUUUUAGCAAUCAAGAAAAACUGUAAUAAAGACUAGCCUAAUUAUUUUGAGGCUGAUGAAGUUGUAAUUGUUAAAAGUAAUGUCUUAGACUUGUUGAGCUUUGUGUCUUCAUUGAAGCCUCCAUGUGUGAGGAGGCGAUCUUCUCAGCUUCUUCAGAAGAGAGGGAAAGAUGGUUUAAGUUUAAGGCAAGUAAAGUUCAUAAUUCCAUGUUAUCAUUUUUUUUUUUUUUUUUUUUUUUACUUAGAGUAAAAGAAUGUUUGUUUUUUGUAGAUGUUAAAAGCCAGAGACACUCUUAAAAAUAAAGGUGCUUUAAAAGGUUCUUCACAGCGAUGCCAUAAAAUAACCAUUUUUGGUUCCACAAACCAUACAGUCAAAGGUUCUUUAAAGAACCAUCUCUGUCUUACCUUUUUAUAAUCUGAAGAACCUUCUUUCGCCACAAAGAACCUUUUGUGAAACAGAAAGGUUCUUCAGACAUUAAAGGUUCUUUAUGAAACCAUUUAGACAAAAGAGUUCUUCUAUGGCAUCGUGAGGCACCUUUAUUUUUAAGAGUGUAGGGGGGGCUUCAUUCUUUCAGGACUGAUUACUCAAACCAACUUUGAAGCUAACAACACAGAUGCCUGCUUGUUUCUCAGCUUCUUCAGAAAAAGAGGGAAAGAUGAUUUAAGGCAAGUAAAGGUAUUAAUUUCAUGUUAUCAAAAAAAAUUUAAUAGUAAAAAAAUGUUUUAUGUAGAUGUUAAAAGCCAGAGACAUAGGAGAGCUUCAUUCUUUUGAAAUUGAUUUAAGUUAUUUGUAGGAAAUAAAUGUUUCCAUUGUCUACUGCCUAUUUGAUGCAACAACAGUAUGACGCCUUUUAAUUAAACUGUGUUUCCUUAUCUGUCGUACACUCCGAGUUGUGUCAAGUAGUGUACGACACUAGGGGGUCGCUCUUG